AGAUAAAGAGCUUAAUGCUGUGUGUAUCAGUUAUGUCCUUUGUGUUCCUUCUCGUUACUUUCUGCCAUGUGGGAGGCGUCCCUAGACUUUUGAGUGCUGUUUUGAAGUUGAUACAGUAAUUCCAUGGCAGUUCUUGUCUAAGGAGUUCUGUGGUCAGGAAACAUUUAAAAGUAUUUGAUCUUAUCUACAGGAAAGCAGGAUGGAAAGCAGUGAAAAUUUUAAAGAGUCGAGGGGAAGAAGAGGAAAAGCCUGUGAUCUAGGUUGCUGAUGGAGAUGAGUUUGCAGUAGCUGGUGACUUGCACAUUCUACUGAAUUUUUUGGUUUUCGUCUCUGAAACAGCUUACCCACCAGAUGCAAGAGGCAAAAAUUAUAUAAAUUUUAUAAGGACAAUAAUACAAGAACCAUUUAGUGACUUGUGAUACUUAUGUAUAGAAUAAUUCAUAAGAAAUUUUCACUUUGAAUAGUUGCAUAAAAUCUGUGUUUGUUGUUUCCUUCAGUUAUAGGUUUUCUUUUAGAAAAAGAAGGUGUUCAGGAUUUGCAAUACCAUUUAAACUGGUUUUUUUAGAUGCUGUGUUAGAGCAAAUGAAAAUAAUUUAUUGAAAGAAAUUGCUCAAUAUGUCCAAGAGUCUGACGAAGGAAAAUGCUUUACAUGUACAGUUUUAAUAAUACAACAUAUCUAAUCCAGUAGAGGGAGCUGGAAUGCUGUUCUACUUUCUCAGUGUUUGUACUAGAGAUAAACAACUACCUAAUAGAAUUAUAUUUAAUUUCAAUAUGAUUUUUAUCUUUAGAACACCAAAUUAUUUUCAUAGAAAUUUUCUUUUAAAAAAACUAGACAGAGUUGUCUUUCUUGUAACCCUUUCUGUCUUUUCUAUAUCAAAGAAGCACAGAAUGGGUGAGGUGGCAGAGACCGCAGUGGUAUACACCCCUUGCUCAAGCAGGGUCAUCCUAGAGCACAGGACAGAGGAUUGUGUCCAUAUGAAUAUCUCCAGUGUGGGACACUUCACAGCCUUUGUGGGCAAUUUUUUCCAAUGCUCAGCACUGACACAAUAAAGAAGUUCUUCCUCUUGUUAAGGUGGA